rnacentral:rRNA from 1 species
CAGUCGCCACGGGAAUACGUAUGGGGCAAGCGUCAUCCGGAUUUACUGGGUGUAAAGGGAGCGCAGACGGCUCUGCAAGUCUGAAGUGAAAGCCCGCGGCUUAACCGCGGGACUGCUUUGGAAACUGCAAGGCUUGAGUAUCGGAGGGGCAGGCGGAAUUCCUAGUGUAGCGGUGAAAUACGUAGAUAUUAGGAAGAACACCGGUGGCGAAGGCGGCCUGCUGGACGAAAACUGACGUUGAGGCUCGAAGACGUGGGGAGCAAACAGGAUUAGAUACCCCAGUAGUCCCUGUCUCUUAUAC